AUAGUAAAUGGAGCACAUAUAUAUAGAGCACCAAUCACAUUGCAAGGGAAGUGAUGUAAUCACUUUUCCCUUUAUAAAGGGUGGUUAUCAGGUCCAAUGCCUCAUUAUACAGAGACUUGGCUGUCAGCACUGCACCACUGGAGGGUAAGGUUUUGUUUUUGAUUUUACAAUAGUAUAUUAUCAACUUUGAAAGUGGUCCCAUUUAUUAGUAUACACUUUGUACCAACUAUAUGUAUUUUAUUGACUGGUUAACCACUAAUCAUUUAUAAAUGUAAUUUUUUUAAAGAGUAUAUGAUAUGCACUAAUUAUAUAUAUUCACUAUAUAAAUAUGACAGAUUUAUUCAUGAAUAUGAAACUAAGUUGUAUGAGUUAUACACUCACUUAUAUAAUUUUUAUAGUUAAUAGAUCUUCCCCUUACUAAGUGAAAGGAGUAUUUGUUUCUCCAUGGGGUGGGAACUCUUUGUACCAUACUGGUACUUUAAUAGAUGGUCUAAUUGAUAUCAACCCAAUUAAUUUACCAGGUCUACCACGUGUUCUAAAUUGGUUAGACAUUAUACCCAUUUGAAUUGCCUUCACUCCUGAGUCUCUGAGUGUCAGGUUCAAGCUGCUGACCGACGAGGUAUGUGCUAUAUUAUAGAGAUUUCUUUAAUGAUUGGCACUAAUGAACUACACCCCCUGUGGGUAGCACUUUGAGUAAUUUCUUUGAAUUAUUCGAUCAUAGAUCAGUGAUACCGUCCAUAAAGGAUGGGUUUCCCUAAUAAACAUAUCAUGUGGGUUCACUAUACUGAUGGUUAAUACAAUUAGUCCUGGGUUUUCCAAAUAUGAAUAAAUGGCUGGUUAUAAUCAGAUCAUUUAGUAGAGGAUCAUUGUAUAGUGGUAACAUUGGUGUUUGUUAUAGCCAAUUCUGUGGCUUUGUUCUGUAUCAUAUAUAGAAACCACACGGGUUAGUCAUGAGAUCUGUUCAUUAGUGAUCAGACAUUAAUGAUACCAGAAUUUUUAUAAUUAUGGGUGUCAAAAUAAGAUAGGGGUCUAUUUAUGAACUCGUAGGUGUUCUUAUAAUUAAUACCCAAUUAAUCAAUUUAUUAGGUUCCUUAUGCUUGCGAACCAGUUAGAUUCUAUACACAUAUGAAUCUUCCCCAUAUUCGAAUAUCUGAAUGUCAGACUCAAGCUGAUGAUAUAUGAGGUAUGUGCCGUUCCCUUGGAUUAAUCCCAAUCUCUGCCUAAUUGAACAAAAAGUGUCCUUUAAUUAAUAAAGGUUAUUAAACGUUUUUUUAAUUAGGUAUGGUCCUCGCUGUAUCAAUCAAGUCCCAUUGAAAUAUUGAAACGUUGUUCAUACAUCUUUGAAUGACCUUUUAUGUGCUGACAAUAUGUUCUGAAAUGAAGAGAUUUUACCCCUGAUGAAGUCUUGGAACAAGACGAAACGCGUUGGGUUAUUUAUCUAUCUAUUAUCUGAUGUUACCUCCGAAUCUACAAUAAGGAGAAGGAGGAAAUCGUAGUGAUAUAUCUACGCUUUUUCCUCAUCACUACAAACUGAUUGUUCAAAUUGUGCGAGAAAUGUAAAUGUAUCAACUCUGUAUACUUAUGAACAUUUGUGUCGGGUUUAUAUGUUGUUUUAAUAAAUUUUUAUGUUAGUA